UACGAAGGGGGCUAGCGUUGUUCGGAAUCACUGGGCGUAAAGCGCACGUAGGCGGAUCUUUAAGUCAGGGGUGAAAUCCCGGGGCUCAACCUCGGAACUGCCUUUGAUACUGGGGAUCUCGAGUCCGGGAGAGGUGAGUGGAAUUGCGAGUGUAGAGGUGAAAUUCGUAGAUAUUCGCAAGAACACCAGUGGCGAAGGCGGCUCACUGGCCCGGUACUGACGCUGAGGUGCGAAAGCGUGGGGAGCAAACAGG
rnacentral:rRNA from 1 species